AUUGCACCAAGUUGGAGAAAGCCAUGGAAUCUUUUGACUAGAAGUUAAAAAACUGCCCACAGAUUAGUAGCAUUUCCCAAUUCCGGUUCAUAUCUCUCUCUCUUCAUCGAUCUUCAUCUUCCUUUUGCUAACCUUCACUCAAACAAUUCAAACUCAGAUCAGAUAAACAAAACUCUCUCUCCCAUUUACAUAUAACACAUACACCAAUACAGAAAAAUGGCUUGUGUGGCUGUACUUUCUCUUAUGAGAACAAUGGAGCUUGAGUUCUUGCAAACUCACCCUCGUCCAAUUCUACAACAAAAUCAACUACUCAUCCCUCCCAACAUAGACUUCAUCCAAUCUCUCCUUGGAAAACUCCAAUCUCUUGUUGAGUUAUUUGAUGAGAAUAGGAUGGAUGGUGUGGAGGCAAUUAGAAUCUUGGAAACCAGACUCAGAGAUGUAGCUUUCAGAACUGAAGAUGAAAUUGAACUCCAAGUAGUACAUCUUUAUCAAGAAGAGGAAAGGGCUACUCGGGGAUGCUCAAUGCUUUGCCAAAUUGUUCAUCGGCUAAAGGGAAAUCCAAGGGAGUAUAAUGAUGAUAUAGUGGAGAGAACUUGUCCUUCUCUCACACUUGGUUAUAUAUUGCAACAAGCAAUAGAUGAUAUUGAUGCCAUCAAAGAAGAGCUGGUGAAAGUGAAGGAGGAGUAUGAGCUUUCCAAAGAUCUACACGGAAGAAAUGCUGCCCUUCAUGUUUUACCAAAGCCUGCAGAUGAUGAAGUUAUCACGAUGGCUUCACACUUCCAGGAAAUAAUGGUUGGAAAGCAGGAUGAGUUUGAGUUUAUAAAGGAGAAGUUAAUCCAACAUCCAUCCAAGCAGCUAGAAGUUGUCACAAUUAAAGGUAUGGGAGGUAUUGGUAAGACAACUUUAGCAAAGAAAAUUUAUGAAGAUCCAUUAAUCACUUCCUACUUUGAUAUGCGAGCAUGGACGGUUGCAUCACAACAUCACAGUAAGAGGCAAAUGCUCUUAGAUCUUCUUGGUUCCAAAGACGAUGCUGGCAAAAGCAGUGAUGGGGACCUAGCAUUACUACUCUACCAAAGUUUCAAGAAGUGUCAAAGGUACUUGGUCGUGAUGGACGACAUAUGGAGCGUAGAGGCAUGGUAUGCUGUCAAAUCUUGCUUUCCGGAUGAUGGAAAUGGUAGUCGAGUAUUGUUGACAACUCGCCUUUCAGAGGUGGCUAAUCAUACCUGCUCCAAAGGUGACUUCUCUCAUCAAAUGCAAUUCUUAGAACAAAGUGAGGGUUGGAAACUAUUUAAUGAAAAGGCAUGUAAAUCUCGUGGUGCUGAAUUUGAAACGAUUGGGAGACCGGUAGUUGAAAAAUGCAAAGGACUGCCUUUGGCAAUUAUUGUGGUUGCAGGUCUUUUUUCGAAACUUAACACUCUAGAUGAGUGGAUAAGUACUGCCAAUGCUCUAAGUUCUUCUGCAACUACGCUAGAUGAUGAAGAAUGUUUGAGAAUACUCUCAUUGAGUUACAAUCAUUUGCCCCACAACUUGAAAGGUUGUUUCUUAUACUUGGGAGUUUUUCCAGAAGAUCACGAGAUCCAUGCUAAUAAUCUUGCAAGGUUAUGGCUUGCCGAAGGACUCGUGAAGACAUUUGAGAAUGAAAACUUUGAUGCAGUGGCUAACAGGUACAUGCAAGAACUUAUGGAUAGAAACCUAAUCAUUUUAAGCCAGCUAUGCUCUCGUGGAAGAAAAAUUAAGAGCUUUAGGAUGCAUGAUUUAUUGCAUGCCUUUUGUGUAAGAGAAGCUCAAAAGGAAAACCUGUUACAUGUUGUCAUGAGUGAAAAUAGGUCUGAUUUCCCUCAGAAAGGCGUUCGCUGGUUAAGAAUCCAAUCGGUAAACUUAGACAUGUCUACAAUUUAUUCUCAAACAAAAAGCUCCAGGUCGUUCUUCUUUUUUUUUGUUGAAGAGAUCAUCUUUUAAGUUUAAAGAUUUCAAUUUAUUGAGAGUACUCUACUCUGCAACUAUAUACGCCAAGUUCGAGAAGGGUGUGGUCCUUAAGGAUAUUGUCCAUUUGAGAUUCAUAAGAUGGAGAAAGGAUAUAAAACUAUUCAGAGCUCGGGGAUUUCUAAUGUCAAGGCGUAGAAAUGGUAUAGAAUUGUUCAGGUCUUGGAAUCUUCAAACACUUAAUUGUUUCGGAAAAGUAUCAUAUAGAUCAAAUGAUGAAGGAAAUUAUUCGGAGUUUCCACAACUACACUAUAUUCAUUGCUAUGGCUGUAUUCAUGGAAAUCCUCCCAGUUUUGUUCAUAAACUUUCUAAGAUAAGAGUUGAUGAUUGCUCACAAGAAUACAUUAAGAAUAUUCCAUUCUUAAAAAAGGUAAGCGUUGAUAGUAACGGCAGAGAGGAUUUCAAUGCUUGCAUUACGAACUUUGCCUCUUCAGAGCAGCUUGAGGGACUUUGUUUUUAUGGUAAUUGGCAGUACAUAAAUACUCCAAUUACUAAUCAUAUUGUUAACUUAAAAAAUCUUAGGACGUUGUCCUUACGAUCUAUAAGAUUUUGUUCAGAGGAAAUUAAUAUUCUUAGCAAGUUGCCUAGGCUUGAGGUGUUGAAGUUAAAAUGGACGCGAUUCCUAGGCAAAGAGUGGAAAAUACAAGAAGAAGUGAUAUUUUGCUGUUUAAUUUCUUUGCAAUUUAUUGGCUCUAAUCUUGAGCAUUGGCAAGCUAGUAGUUCUAAUUUCCCAAAACUUGAGCACCUAUAUUUUUUUGGUUGCCCUAAAUUGAGAGAGAUCCCAAUUGACUUUGCUGAAAUUUCAACAUUAAAGUCAAUCAUAUUACGGAGGUGUCUUCCUUCUGCUGUGGAAUCAACCAGGAAAAUUCAGGAUGAGCAACGUGAGUAUGGAAACGACAAUAUGGUUGUUACUGAGGAAAUGACAAACGUGUUUUGGGAAUCAAAGAAAAGCCUGAGAGAAGAAGAGCUAGAAGUGGAUAACUGAAAAUUGAUACCUUGUAUUCAAUCACUUUUAGCCAUAAGACAAAAAUGGACAGGCAACGACGGUAUGCUAUCUAUUUGUUGGAGUUUAGUUGUUAGAAUCAUAUAUGGGGAGUGCUCAAACUUCAUGUCUUGUAUUUUAGUACUGAAUUCGAAGCUUUAAACUUUAUAAUAACUCUUGAAGUUUAGAUUUGCAAUAUGUGUGUGUGUUUGAUCAUAUAUAUGCAGACUUAUUGCUGGAGUUGAUGAUGAUGAGUGUUAACAAACUAAUUAAGAAGAUUGCUUUGCCUAAAAGAAAGCAUAUAUGUAUCCCAGUGGUUGGUUUUGGCAUUUGAACUUUAAUUUGCUUUUUUAAUAGAUGUAAUGUAGCCUCUG